rnacentral:rRNA from 1 species
GACGAACGCUGGCGGCGUGCUUAACACAUGCAAGUCGAACGGAAAGGCCCCCACCUUGGUGGGGGUGCUCGAGUGGCGAACGGGUGAGUAACACGUGGGUGAUCUGCCCUGUACUUCGGGAUAAGCUUGGGAAACUGGGUCUAAUACCGGAUAGGACCAUGGUUUAGUGUCUCAUGGUGGAAAAAUUAUUGUUUUGGUGCAGGAUGAGCUCGCGGCCUAUCAGCUUGUUGGUGGGGUAAUGGCCUACCAAGGCGUCGACGGGUAGCCGGCCUGAGAGGGUGGACGGCCACAUUGGGACUGAGAUACGGCCCAGACUCCGACGGGAGGCAGCAGUGGGGAAUAUGGCACAAUGGGCGCAAGCCUGAGGCAGCGACGCCGCGUGGGGGAUGACGGCCGUCGGGUGGUAAACUCCUUUCGUUAGGGACGAAGCCACACCUUUUUUGGGUGUGGUGACGGUACCUUUGUUAAGAAGCACCGGCUAACUACGUG